AACGAACGCUGGCGGCAGGCUUAACACAUGCAAGUCGAACGGCUGUAGCAAUACAGCAGUGGCGGACGGGUGAGUAACGCGUGGGAACGUGCCCUGAGGUACGGAAUAACUGCGGGAAACUGCAGCUAAUACCGUAUGAGCCCGAGCAAUCGGGGAAAGAUUUAUCGCCUUAGGAGCGGCCCGCGUCGGAUUAGCUAGUUGGUGGGGUAACGGCCUACCAAGGCUUCGAUCCGUAGCUGGUCUGAGAGGACGAUCAGCCACAUUGGGACUGAGACACGGCCCAAACUCCUACGGGAGGCAGCAGUGGGGAAUCUUGCGCAAUGGGCGAAAGCCUGACGCAGCCAUGCCGCGUGAACGAUGAAGGCCUUAGGGUUGUAAAGUUCUUUUACCCGUGACGAUGAUGACGGUAACGGGAGAAUAAGCUCCGGCUAACUUCGUGC
rnacentral:rRNA from 1 species